rnacentral:rRNA from 1 species
AUUGAACGCUGGCGGCGUGGCUAAAGCAUGCAAGUCGCACGGAGCCGCAAGGCUCAGUGGCGGACGGGUUAGUAAUACGAUCGAACGUACCCUGAGGUGGAGGAUAGCGGCGGGAAACCGCCGGUAAUACUUCAUGAUCUCCCCGGAGCAAAGUCGCAAGGCGCCUUUGGAUCGGCGAUCGUCCUAUCAGCUAGUUGGCGGGGUAACGGCCCACCAAGGCGAUGACGGGUAGCAGGUGUGAGAGCACGACCUGCAACAUCGGGACUGAGA